UAAGUAUAAGGAAGCCCCGGUGUUCACUC
rnacentral:piRNA from 1 species